rnacentral:misc_RNA from 1 species
AUUACAUCUGAUGAUUCCUUUUCCAAAGAUUUCCUAGAAAUGAAGAAUAUUCAGCAUGCUUUUAGUUUAUUUUGAUGAUUAACUAAUAGAAAGACCCUCCGGAAUCUGCACCUUGGAUACUCUGUAGUUUAUGACAUAUGUUGAGAAAAACAACACUUGAAUGCAGAAGAAAUGUCUUAUAUAUUUUGGAGACCAUUACUUUUUAAUUGAUGAAGUAAGUGGAAG